UUUUUCUCUUCUUGCAAUGGCUGUCUGCAGGGCGUCCCCUCAAAAACCGAUAAAGUGGUAGCAGGCCGUGUUAACACGUCUGACCGGCUUAACACGUAAAUAAUGUACGUGUUAAGACGUUAUUUGUUUGCGUGUUAACAGUAGACGUUAUGCCCCAAAUGGCCUUCCAUAGUUAUGUUCUGUUAUUUUUUCCUCUUUAGUUCGAUUUAAAUGAAGCUUGCACGAGACCGAGAUUUAGCGCGGGAAUCGUAGUUUGAUUUAAACCGUUAAUUUACCGGAAACCUAUAGCCCUGUAGUGUCAGUCAGACAGUGAUUGCGAGCUGAUUGGCACUUUGAGUUGGAAACCCAAUUAGAAACGUGGGGGUGGGAUUUCGGGGAGAGUGGGACUGGGUGGGAGAAGAACGUUAGUGAGAGGAAAAGAGGCAGUUUGGAGAUUGGCUGAGGAAAGUAGUUCUUUCGGUCUGCUAGGUGGAGUGAUGACUGAAUCUCAACGGGAACAUUAUUUUGAGAAUGAGAGUGUAGUUUCUGCGUUCUUCGUAAAUCGUCUCGUUGGGAUUGUCCGUGUUUUAAGAACGGGUCAGUUUGACGAGCUGCGCGGCCACGGAAUGAGAAGAUCCCCAUAGUGCUUUGUGCUACUGGUGACACGCCGAGUUUUUCGGGCCCUUGUGGGAGUUCGUGGUCAGUCCGGAGUACCCCUGGUGGAUGGAAUUGCAUGUUCCCCAUUAUCGUCGGAGCGCAAAGGAGCACCGAUGCCUCGUUUGACCGCUUCACCUUAUGGUCAUUAAAUGACAGCCAGCCCAUUUCCUCCUCGUGAAAGGCACUGCUGACAUAGUGACCUACAGGAAAGACAGGUGGCGCUGGAGCCUAGGUGGCUCAGAACGGAGACGAGCCGAUAAUCCUGAGCAGCAGGCUGUGUCUCUGUUCCUCUCUGAAGAGAAAAGUCAUCGUCAACUUCACCUCCCUCUAAGAGCUGCCCCAUCUCCGCCGAGCAUCCUCAGGGAGUCUUCCGGUACAUCCGCCGUCUGGUUCUGCGUUUUUGGGGGCUCGAUUCUCCCGUCGCUAAACCUGAUGGCUGAACCCUGAUGAUCCCCGUGCUCUAGUCCUCCAGCUGACCUGCAGGAGAUCCAUGCAAUCAGACUAUUGUUCAUACAAUCUCUAUGCAGAUGCAGACUUACAGAUGUGCCUCUUCCAGAUGAGGUUCCUCUGGCUGGGGAGUCACCGUCAGCUGGGAGAUCUCCUCACUGAGAUGAGGGAGCAAGGUGUAGUCAGAAGAUCAGUGAAAUGUCUGCAGAUCAAGAGAGACAGAGAGUGAGAGCUGGUAUCUCCAUUUCCACUCAUCAUUAUGAUUAUUGUGAUUAGGUCAGUAACAUGUGGACAAUGCAAGUAAAAAAUCACACGUAUGGAGUUCUGUAUGGGGGUGGGGAUGCUCCUGCUGGGUACCUCAUCAGGUCUGUAGACGGGACCAGCCCCCAGUGUUCCUUCUGCCUAGUGAUGUCCUGGCAGAAGGACGGUAGAUGAAACAGGCACUGCAGGGUGGCGUUCAUGAA